UACAGAGGUGGCAAGCGUUGUUCGGAAUUACUGGGCGUAAAGGGCGCGUAGGCGGUUCGAUAAGUCCCGUGUGAAAGCCCCCGGCUCAACUGGGGAACUGCACGGGAAACUGACGGACUUGAGUUCGGGAGAGGGAAGCGGAAUUCCGGGUGUAGCGGUGAAAUGCGUAGAUAUCCGGAGGAACACCGGUGGCGAAGGCGGCUUCCUGGACCGACACUGACGCUGAGGCGCGAAAGCCAGGGGGGCAAACGGG
rnacentral:rRNA from 1 species